rnacentral:lncRNA from 12 species
AAACCUACCACAGGAGCUAGAGCUUCAUGAUUUCUAUCAAAAGUUUGCCCUAUUUGUGAGGCUUUAUUGAGAAGGCUGUGAGCUACAUAAGUAACAUUGUGAAGGAGAAGAUAGAAGCAGGUCCAUGAAGAG